rnacentral:rRNA from 1 species
GACGAACGCUGGCGGCGUGCUUAACACAUGCAAGUCGAACGAUGAACUUGGAGCUUGCUCUGGGGGAUUAGUGGCGAACGGGUGAGUAACACGUGAGUAACCUGCCCUGGACUCUGGGAUAACUUCGAGAAAUCGGAGCUAAUACCGGAUAGGACCUUGCACCGCAUGGUGUGGGGUGGAAAGUUUUUCGGUUUGGGAUGGACUCGCGGCCUGUGAGCUUGUUGGUGAGGGAAUGGCUCACCAAGGCGGCGACGGGUAGCCGGCCUGAGAGGGUGACCGGCCACACUGGGACUGGGACCCGGACCAGACUCCUACGGGAGGCAGCAGUGGGGAAUAUUGAACAAUGGGCGCAAGCCUGAUGCAGCAACGCCGCGUGCGGGAUGACGGCCUUCGUGUUGUAAACCGCUUUUAGUAGGGAAGAAGCCUUCGGGUGACGGUACCUGCAGAAAAAGGACCGGCUAACUACGAGCCAGCAGCCGCCGUAAGAC